rnacentral:rRNA from 1 species
UGGGGAAUAUUGGGCAAUGGGCGCAAGCCUGACCCAGCCAUGCCGCGUGAGUGACGAAGGCCUUAGGGUUGUAAAGCUCUUUUGGCGGGGACGAUAAUGACGGUACCCGCAGAAUAAGCCCCGGCUAACUUCGUACCAGCAGCCGCGGUAAUACGAAGGGGGCUAGCGUUGUUCGGAAUCACUGGGCGUAAAGCGCACGUAGGCGGACUUUCAAGUCAGGGGUGAAAUCCCGGGGCUCAACCUCGGAACUGCCUUUGAUACUGUUGGUCUCGAGUCCGGAAGAGGUGGGUGGAAUUCCUAGUGUAGAGGUGAAAUUCGUAGAUAUUAGGAAGAACACCGGUGGCGAAGGCGGCCCACUGGUCCGGUACUGACGCUGAGGUGCGAAAGCGUGGGGAGCAGACAGGA